CCUGUCCCUAGAGCCCUUGUAGGUGUGGCUGCUGUGUCACAGUGCAGCAGUAGGUGACAGAGAGGAGAGAGGCUGUGUCUGAGCUCAGUGUUCUGACCUAUGAACUAUGAAUGAUUAGUAGCCCCAGAUG